UACUACUGCAUCAGCUCUUAUUCUUACACAUUCACAUUUUUAGAGGGCUAUAGUGUCCUUGUGAAGAACUCUUCUUCUUACAUCCAGACUUCCGUGGAUCAGUCGUCCUCUGAGAACAUCCAUCCAGGAGACUCUGUGACUCUGAACUGUACAGUACACACUGGGAGCUGUGAUGGAGAACACAGAGUUUACUGGUUCAAAGACUCUGAAGACUCUCAUCCAGGACUCAUUUACACUGAUAGAGGCAGGAAUGAUCAGUGUGAGAGAAAGAAGAACACAAAAACACACAGUUGUGUCUACGAGCUGCACAUGAAGAACCUGAACAAGUCUCAUGCUGGGAUCUACUACUGUGCUGUUGCCUCAUGUGGACACAUACUGUUUGGAAACGGAGCCAAACUGGACCUCACAGGUCAGCCAAACUCCUCAUUGGUGUUUUUCUUAAAUGGAUCUUUGACCAUCAUGAGCGUCCUUGUUCUUUUUCUGGUUUACAAGAUUAGGAAACAAAUGUGUUGCCAGUCUAAAGAUGGAAGCUCAGCAAGUGCCUGUGCCCCAAAUACAGAGAAUAAGAACAAAGACUCAGAAAACCUCCAUUAUGCUGCUGUUAAU